AUUGAACGCUGGCGGCAGGCCUAACACAUGCAAGUCGAGCGAGCGGCGGACGGGUGAGUAAUGUAUGGGGACUGCCCGAUAGAGGGGGAGAACUAGUGGAAACGGUAGCUAAUACCGCAUACUAUCGGAUAACCCAUAUGGGAUUAGCUAGUAGGUGAGGUAAUGGCUCACCUAGGCGACGAUCCCUCGCUGGGCUGAGAGGAUGAUCCGCCACACCGGGACUGAGACACGGCCCAGACGCCUACGGAGGCAGCAGUGGGGAAUAUUGCACAAUGGGCGCAAGCCUGAUAUAGCCAUGCCGCGUGUAUGAAGCAGGCCCUAGGGUUGUAAAGUACUGUCAGUCGGGAGGCGUUACCGACAGCAGAAGCACCGGCUAACUCCGUGCCAGCAGCCGCGGUAAUAC
rnacentral:rRNA from 1 species